GGAGAGGUGGCCGAGCGGCUUAAGGCAGCAGAUUGCUAAUCUGCGACCCUUUAUUGGGUCUCGUGGGUUCGAAUCCCACCCUCUCCG
rnacentral:tRNA from 1 species